rnacentral:rRNA from 1 species
UAAACGAUGAGCACUAGGUAUUGGAAGCCCUGCGUUUUCACUGCUGUAGCGAAAGCGUUAAGUGCUCCGCCUGGGGAGUACGUUCGCAAGGCUGAAACUCAAAGGAAUUGACGGGGGCUCACACAAGCGGUGGAGCAUGUGGUUUAAUUCGAGGCAACGCGAAGAACCUUACCCGGGUUUGACAUGCAAGGAUUAGCUUCCUGAAAGGGAAGUGACGCCUUUCGGGGUGGAACUUGCACAGGUGCUGCACGGCUGUCGUCAGCUCGUGCCGUGAGGUGUUGGGUUAAGUCCCGUAACGAGCGAAACCCUUGUCGUUAGUUGCCAGCGGGUAAAGCCGGGGACUCUAACGAGACUGCCGUUGUUAGGACGCAGGAAGGUGGGGACGACGUCAAGUCAUCAUGGCCCUUAUGUCCGGGGCUACACACGUGCUACAAUGGCCGGUACAGAGGGUAGCGAAGUCGAGAGGCGGAGCUAAUCUCAGAAAGCCGGUCCCAGUUCGGAUUGAAGGCUGCAAUUCGCCUUCAUGAAGGCGGAAUCGCUAGUAAUCGCGGAUCAGCACUGCCGCGGUGAAUAUGUUCCUGAGCAUUGUACACACCGCCCGUCAAGCCA